rnacentral:rRNA from 1 species
AUGAACGCUAGCUACAGGCUUAACACAUGCAAGUCGAGGGGCAGCAUGAACUUAGCUUGCUAAGUUUGAUGGCGACCGGCGCACGGGUGAGUAACACGUAUCCAACCUGCCGAUGACUCGGGGAUAGCCUUUCGAAAGAAAGAUUAAUACCCGAUGGCAUAGUUCUUCCGCAUGGUAGAACUAUUAAAGAAUUUCGGUCAUCGAUGGGGAUGCGUUCCAUUAGGUUGUUGGCGGGGUAACGGCCCACCAAGCCUUCGAUGGAUAGGGGUUCUGAGAGGAAGGUCCCCCACAUUGGAACUGAGACACGGUCCAAACUCCUACGGGAGGCAGCAGUGAGGAAUAUUGGUCAAUGGACGAGAGUCUGAACCAGCCAAGUAGCGUGAAGGAUGACUGCCCUAUGGGUUGUAAACUUCUUUUAUACGGGAAUAAAGUGGGGCACGUGUGCCUUUUUGUAUGUACCGUAUGAAUAAGGAUCGGCUAACUCCGUGCCAGCAGCCGCGGUAAUACGGAGGAUCCGAGCGUUAUCCGGAUUUAUUGGGUUUAAAGGGAGCGUAGGCGGACGCUUAAGUCAGUUGUGAAAGUUUGCGGCUCAACCGUAAAAUUGCAGUUGAUACUGGGUGUCUUGAGUACAGUAGAGGCAGGCGGAAUUCGUGGUGUAGCGGUGAAAUGCUUAGAUAUCACGAAGAACUCCGAUUGCGAAGGCAGCCUGCUGGACUGUAACUGACGCUGAUGCUCGAAAGUGUGGGUAUCAAACAGGAUUAGAUACCCUGGUAGUCCACACAGUAAACGAUGAAUACUCGCUGUUUGCGAUAUACAGUAAGCGGCCAAGCGAAAGCGUUAAGUAUUCCACCUGGGGAGUACGCCGGCAACGGUGAAACUCAAAGGAAUUGACGGGGGCCCGCACAAGCGGUGGAGCAUGUGGUUUAAUUCGAAGCAACGCGAAGAACCUUACCAGGGCUUGACAUAUAGAUGAAUAUAUAAGAGAUUAUAUAGCUCUUCGGAGCAUCUAUACAGGUGGUGCAUGGUUGUCGUCAGCUCGUGCCGUGAGGUGUCGGCUUAAGUGCCAUAACGAGCGCAACCCUUAUCGAUAGUUACCAUCAGGUGAUGCUGGGGACUCUGUCGAGACUGCCGUCGUAAGAUGUGAGGAAGGUGGGGAUGACGUCAAAUCAGCACGGCCCUUACGUCCGGGGCUACACACGUGUUACAAUGGGGGGUACAGAAGGCAGCUACACGGCGACGUGAUGCUAAUCCCUAAAGCCUCUCUCAGUUCGGAUUGGAGUCUGCAACCCGACUCCAUGAAGCUGGAUUCGCUAGUAAUCGCGCAUCAGCCACGGCGCGGUGAAUACGUUCCCGGGCCUUGUACACACCGCCCGUCAAGCCAUGAAAGCCGGGGGUACCUGAAGUGCGUAACCGCAAGGAGCGCCCUAGGGUAAAACUGGUGAUUGGGGCU